CGCGUAGGCGGCCUUUCAAGUCAGAUGUAAAAUCUCCCGGCUUAACUGGGAGGGACCAUCCGAUACUGUUGGGCUAGAGUGCAUCAGAGGAAAGCGGAAUUCCCGGUGUAGUGGUGAAAUGCGUAGAUAUCGGGAGGAACACCAGUGGCGAAGGCGGCUUUCUGGGAUGUAACUGACGCUGAGGCGCGAAGGCGUGGGGAGCAAACA
rnacentral:rRNA from 1 species